CCUACGGGGGACAGCAGUGAGGAAUAUUGGUCAAUGGACGAGAGUCUGAACCAGCCAAGUAGCGUGAGGGAUGACUGCCCUAUGGGUUGUAAACUUCUUUUGUAUGGGAGUAACACAGGGUAUGCAUACCCUCUUGUAUGGACCAUAUGAAUAAGGCACGGCUAACUCCGUGCCAGCAGCCGCGGUAAUACGGAGGAUCCGAGCGUUAACCGGAUUUAUUGGGUUUAAAGGGAGCGUAGGUGGAUUGGUAAGUCAGUUGUGAAAGUUUGGGGCUCAACCGUAAAAUUGCAGUUGAAACUGGCAGUCUUGAGUACAGUAGAGGUGGGCGGAAUGCGUGGUGUAGCGGUGAAAUGCUUAGAUAUCACGAAGAACCCCGAUUGCGAAGGCAGCUCACUGGACUGCAACUGACACUGAUGCUCGAAAGUGUGGGUAUCAAACAGGAUUAGAUACCCCAGUAGUC
rnacentral:rRNA from 1 species